GACGUAGGGCGCGAGCGUUGUCCGGAUUUAUUGGGCGUAAAGAGCUCGUAGGCGGCUUGUUGCGUCGACCGUGAAAACCCGUGGCUUAACUGCGGGCUUGCGGUCGAUACGGGCGGGCUGGAGUUCGGUAGGGGAGACUGGAAUUCCUGGUGUAGUGGUGAAAUGCGUAGAGAUCCGGAGGAACCCCAGAGGCGAAGGCGGCGUCCUGGCUCGCAUCUGACGCUCAGACACGACAGCAUGGGGAGCGAACGGG
rnacentral:rRNA from 1 species